rnacentral:rRNA from 1 species
AGCCGAUUCGAGAAAUCCGGGGAUCGCCGGUCUGAUGUCUUCGGGCGUCUCUCUGGUGAGAACCGGCUUAAUCGCAUCAGUUUGAACCGGGCAAAAGUCUGUAACAAGGUUGCUGUAGGUGAACCUGCUGCAGGAUCAUUA